UUCCAAAGUGUUGAGUUCAUGUCAGGGCAGUUUCCCUGGUCUGUUAAUUAAACUUUGGGAUAUUGAAAUUGGCUAAGGGAGAUGACUGAAUCUUAUAUUCUGUUCACUUGCCUGAUAGCCAACAACC
ensembl:snoRNA